rnacentral:rRNA from 1 species
UACGUAGGGGGCAAGCGUUGUCCGGAUUUAUUGGGCGUAAAGCGCGUGUAGGCGGCCAGAAAAGUCCGCUGUGAAAACUCGAGGCUCAACUUCGAGCUGUCGGUGGAAACUUUCUGGCUAGAGUCCGGAAGAGGAGAAUGGAAUUCCUGGUGUAGCGGUGGAAAUGCGCAGAUAUCAGGAGGAACACCAGCGGCGAAGGCGGUGCUCUGGGCCGGAACUGACACUGAGGAGCGAAAGCGUGGGUAGCAAACAGG